rnacentral:rRNA from 1 species
CCUACGGGAGGCAGCAGUGGGGAAUAUUGCACAAUGGGGGAAACCCUGAUGCAGCGACGCCGCGUGAGUGAAGAAGUAUUUCGGUACGUAAAGCUCUAUCAGCAGGGAAGAAAAUGACGGUACCUGACUAAGAAGCCCCGGCUAACUACGUGCCAGCAGCCGCGGUAAUACGUAGGGGGCAAGCGUUAUCCGGCUUUACUGGGUGUAAAGGGAGCGUAGACGGCAGCGCAAGUCUGGAGUGAAAUCCCAUGGCUUAACCAUGGAACUGCGUUGGAAACUGUGCAGCUAGAGUGCAGGAGAGGUAAGCGGAAUUCCUAGUGUAGCGGUGAAAUGCGUAGAUAUUAGGAGGAACACCAGUGGCGAAGGCGGCUUACUGGACUGUAACUGACGUUGAGGCUCGAAAGCGUGGGGAGCAAACAGGAUUAGAUACCCCUGUAGUC